rnacentral:rRNA from 1 species
CAGUAGCCGCGGGAAUACAGAGGGUGCGAGCGUUAAUCGGAUUUACUGGGCGUAAAGCGUGCGUAGGCGGCUUCUUAAGUCGGAUGUGAAAUCCUUGAGCUUAACUUAGGAAUUGCAUUCGAUACUGGGAAGCUAGAGUAUGGGAGAGGAUGGUAGAAUUCCAGGUGUAGCGGUGAAAUGCGUAGAGAUCUGGAGGAAUACCGAUGGCGAAGGCAGCCAUCUGGCCUAAUACUGACGCUGAGGUACGAAAGCAUGGGGAGCAAACAGGAUUAGAUACCCCGGUAGUCCCUGUCUCUUAUAC